rnacentral:rRNA from 1 species
UUUGAUGACCAUACCAUUCUGAACGUGCCCAAUCUCGUCUGAUCUCAGAAGCUAAGCGGGGUCAGGCCUGGUUAGUACUUGGAUGGGAGAAACUACAGUGUGUGACCGUGUGCACUGAGUUGUAUUAAGA